rnacentral:lncRNA from 1 species
UGCUGUUUUUUUUUUUUCAGUCACAUUCUUUCCUGAGGUAUUACUUUGCUGUUCUAAAGAAGUAAUGUAGAUAACAAAGAAGCAUGAAGAAGUGUCGAAAGGUGGAGAAAGAAAGAUGGGGACCAGGUACAUUUCUGAAAACAGCGUGAUGCUGUCGAAGUGAGAGGUUGGAGUUAAGCACCCUGCUGCUAUUUGGCUUGCCCUAAGAGCUAGCUGGGAAGAGAUUCUCCAUCUUUACCUUGAUUUCCUGAUCAUGUUCUUCUAAUGCAAUGGGCUGAGUUGCUGGAUAGAGCUAGUCACAACCUCAGACAACUGGACCUACAAGUUAAGUUGGAUGCACCUGACCCCAUGAAUCUGCAAACCAAGAAUAUAUUGUGUGUUAAAGGAAUCAAAAAAUGCACUUUUUGUUGUGGGUGGAUUUUGCUGACUCGGUUGGGUUCGUUGCUGUGAGUAAUGAUAGCACCUUAAGAAUUUAAGAAACAGUAAACUAAAAUCUCUUAUCGCCUUCAUUUUUAUAAAUAAAUGCUUUAAGACCAGUAAAAUUAAAAUGUAA